GAUGAACGCUGGCGGCGUGCCUAAUACAUGCAAGUCGAGCGAACAGACGAGGAGCUUGCUCCUCUGACGUUAGCGGCGGACGGGUGAGUAACACGUGGAUAACCUACCUAUAAGACUGGGAUAACUUCGGGAAACCGGAGCUAAUCCCGGAUAAUAUAUUGAACCGCAUUGUUCAAUAGUGAAAGACGGUUUUGCUGUACCUUAUAGAUGGAUCCGCGCCGCAUUAGCUAGUUGGUAAGGUAACGGCUUACCAAGGCAACGAUGCGUAGCCGACCUGAGAGGGGGGUCGGCCACACUGGAACUGAGACACGGUCCAGAGUCCUACGGGAGGCAGCAGUAGGGAAUCUUCCGCAAUGGGCGAAAGCCUGACGGAACAACGCGGCGUGAGUGAUGAAGGUCUUCGGAUCGUAAAACUCUGUUAUGAGGGAAGAACAAAUGUGUAAGUAACUAUGCACGUAUUGACGGUACCUAAUCAGAAAGCCACGGCUAACUACGUG
rnacentral:rRNA from 1 species